rnacentral:rRNA from 1 species
UAGCUCCAGUAGCGUAUAUUAAAGUUGUUGCAGUUAAAAAGCUCGUAGUUGGAUUUCUGGUACGCUGCGCCUGGCCGCCUUAGGGUGAGUGCUGGAGCGCGGUUGCCAUCCUUCUGGAGAACACGUCUGCCUUCAUUGGACCGGAUGUGGAAUCCAGAUCAUUUACUUUGAAAAAAUUAGAGUGUUUAAAGCAGGCUUGC